GGGAAUAUUGGACAAUGGGGGGAACCCUGAUCCAGCCAUGCCGCGUGUGUGAAGAAGGCCUUAUGGUUGUAAAGCACUUUAAGCGAGGAGGAGGCUACUCUAGUUAAUACCUAGGGAUAGUGGACGUUACUCGCAGAAUAAGCACCGGCUAACUCUGUGCCAGCAGCCGCGGUAAUACAGAGGGUGCGAGCGUUAAUCGGAUUUACUGGGCGUAAAGCGUGCGUAGGCGGCUUAUUAAGUCGGAUGUGAAAUCCCCGAGCUUAACUUGGGAAUUGCAUUCGAUACUGGUGAGCUAGAGUAUGGGAGAGGAUGGUAGAAUUCCAGGUGUAGCGGUGAAAUGCGUAGAGAUCUGGAGGAAUACCGAUGGCGAAGGCAGCCAUCUGGCCUAAUACUGACGCUGAGGUACGAAAGCAUGGGGAGCAAACA
rnacentral:rRNA from 1 species